AAAUUGAAGAGUUUGAUCAUGGCUCAGAUUGAACGCUGGCGGCAGGCCUAACACAUGCAAGUCGAACGGUAACAGGAAGCAGCUUGCUGCUUCGCUGACGAGUGGCGGACGGGUGAGUAAUGUCUGGGAAACUGCCUGAUGGAGGGGGAUAACUACUGGAAACGGUGGCUAAUACCGCAUAACGUCGCAAGACCAAAGAGGGGGACCUUCGGGCCUCUUACCAUCAGAUGUGCCCAGAUG
rnacentral:rRNA from 1 species